rnacentral:rRNA from 1 species
ACGCUCGACACCUACGGGAGGAGCAGUGGGGGGAUAUUGCACAAUGGGGGGAACCCUGAUGCAGCGACGCCGCGUGAGGGAAGAAGGUUUUCGGAUUGUAAACCUCUGUCCUCAGGGAAGAAGAUGACGGUACCUGAGGAGGAAGCCACGGCUAACUACGUGCCAGCACGCCGACGUAAUCGUGGACGGCGGGCUGGACGAAGGC